ACAAGUGUCACAUCCUUACCUGGCAUCCUGUUAAGAAACACCCGCAGUGCCACACCUGAUUAAAACCUACACAGGAUCUUUACAUCAAGGAACUGCACACAACAUUUCGCUUCUAAACAAAUUUCACCCAUCUCUGGAAGUUAAGACGACAAGAAGAUAUACAGGUAUGGACGGCAGACUCUUCUUUACUGUCCUGUUUGUGACGCUGUCCUGGAUAUCUGUUGGCACCUUUGCCCAAGCAUCAACAGCAGCAGCAGGCACAACAAUGGCGCCAUCCAUGACAACAGUAAACGGCAUGACAAACGCACCAGGUGCAACGACAAUGGCGCCAUCCAUGACAACAGUAAACGGCAUGACAAACGCACCAGGUGCAACGACAAUGGCGCCAGCCAUGACAACAGUAAACGGCAUGACAAACGCACCAGGUGCAACGACAAUGGCGCCAUCCAUGACAACAGUAAACGGCAUGACAAACGCACCAGGUGCAACGACAAUGGCGCCAUCCAUGACAACAGUAAACGGCAUGACAAACGCACCAGGUGCAACGACAAUGGCGCCAUCCAUGACAACAGUAAACGGCAUGACAAACGCACCAGGUGCAACGACAAUGGCGCCAUCCAUGACAACAGUAAACGGCAUGACAAACGCACCAGGUGCAACGACAAUGGCGCCAGCCAUGACAACAGUAAACGGCAUGACAAACGCACCAGGUGCAACGACAAUGGCGCCAUCCAUGACAACAGUAAACGGCAUGACAAACGCACCAGGUGCAACGACAAUGGCGCCAUCCAUGACAACAGUAAACGGCAUGACAAACGCACCAGGUGCAACGACAAUGGCGCCAUCCAUGACAACAGUAAACGGCAUGACAAACGCACCAGGUGCAACGACAAUGGCGCCAUCCAUGACAACAGUAAACGGCAUGACAAACGCACCAGGUGCAACGACAAUGGCGCCAUCCAUGACAACAGUAAACGGCAUGACAAACGCACCAGGUGCAACGACAAUGGCGCCAGCCAUGACAACAGUAAACGGCAUGACAAACGCACCAGGUGCAACGACAAUGGCGCCAUCCAUGACAACAGUAAACGGCAUGACAAACGCACCAGGUGCAACGACAAUGGCGCCAUCCAUGACAACAGUAAACGGCAUGACAAACGCACCAGGUGCAACGACAAUGGCGCCAGCCAUGACAACAGUAAACGGCAUGACAAACGCACCAGGUGCAACAGGAAACGGCAUGACAAACGCACCAGGUGCAACAGGAAACGGCAUGACAAGCGCACCAGGUGCAACAGGAAACGGCAUGACAAACGCACCAGGUGCAACAGGAAACGGCAUGACAAACGCACCAGGUGCAACGACAAUGGCGCCAUCCAUGACAACAGGAAACGGCAUGACAAACGCACCAGGUGCAACGACAAUGGCGCCAUCCAUGACAACAGUAAACGGCAUGACAAACGCACCAGGUGCAACGACAAUGGCGCCAUCCAUGACAACAGUAGCAGCCCCACUAACGCCCAACAAUAACGUGUCAAUGCUUGCGACAUCUUUCAACAGAAGUGGCUGUGGAAGUGAAAAACUCUGUGCGGCCGAGCCCUCUACGUGCGACCCCUCCGCUACAGUAUCAUGUUUCUUUCUCGGUGCGAGGAGGAAGAGUGGUCAAAACUUUGAGCUUGAGCUCUCAGGAGAGUCAUCAGGCUAUGUUGCAGCAGUCCUGUCGCCUGACACCUCACUGGGGGGAAACGACACAACCUAUGUUUGUGCAAAUAACAACGGUAAUGUAAAAUUCUUCGGCGCCAACCUCAACAAUGGCCAGCUUACAGAGACUCCGGUCAACGCAAACAAUGUGAAAGGAAGCAUCAGUGGUAAUGGUAGCGGUGGUGGUGUUGGGGGAAUUCGCAUUGGUGACUGUGGCAUUGGGAUUUCCCAGGUCAACAGGAUUGCUCCUCAAUUGGGUGCUUGCGGAUCCAACAGCACCAGAAGCUGAAAGCACAAGCAAACGAAUCACAUUGUUACCACGACAUAAAAGUCACGUUCUCUGUGACUCUGUUUGUGAUUGUUGAAAGUUCAUAUGAAAUGUGUGGACAUCUAUUUUUUGUUAGCUUACUGCUGUUAAAAGAUCCUGUGAGUAUUCCAAGUGUAAAAGUUGAUGCUCUUUGUUGUGUGGCUGCUACAGUGGCAUCAAAUGUGCACUGGAUUCUAUUUCCACUGCUAGCCAUGCCAUUACACUCCAGCAAUCACUCACGCAAGCUCUGCUGAUCACUGUGAGUGUCCUCUGUCUGGCCGUGCUCUGAGGAAAGCCAUGUCAAGACAACAACUACCCACCUAAUCAUAUAAAAAAUGCUACUGCUACAUAUAAACUCUACAUAUAAAUAAAAAAAUCUCCCUGGAAUCCCAAAUGUAUUUGCAUUAUGCUUCAUUCUGUGUCAACUCACUGCACGAGAAAGAUGAAAAAGUUGAAGGGUGGUCACUCUUAGAUAGCCUUCUGACUGCUUUCACAUCUUUGAGGGGCUCUAAAACAGGUUCUAAGAUUAUAGAUUGUUUUCGUUUUUUUGUAACUAUAGGACUGCUGGAUUUAUGUCCAAUGAGUUAUAUACUGCAGAGAAAAAUGUUUGAAAAAAACUGCGCCUUUAUUCAGGCGGCCGUUUGUUUUGAAAAGCUCUCUCUUCCUUGGAAAUAUCAAUUCUGUUAUUACAUAUUGACCUUCAGAAUAGGUAGGUGUUCCUUUAUUAAGGACCAGAGUUAUUUUUGCUUCAUCCCAUGCUCAUCGAUGUGUUCUUGUGACACAUGCUGUACAAGACAAGAAAAGUAUGACUGUUGUUCCUCUUUCACUGAUUACGGUAAAAGAACAAACAGCACUUCUGAAAUAUGUUGAUUUUGUUAUUAUGACUAAUAUAAUAUUGUUAUUUUAUUUUUGAGAUGUGAAUGUGUAUGCUUGAACAAUGGUGAUAAUGAAGCCAUCACUGGCUGAUGUUUGAUUGUGUGUGCGUGUGUGUGUGUGUGAUUGUGUGUGUAAAUAUGAAGAAAAUAUACUGCAAAUGAGUUGUCGCUCAUUUAGAAUGCUAGUAUUGGUGAAACUGACUUUGCAUUAUAUUACAGUUGAGUUUUAUUUUGUACAUAAUUUUGAAAUAAAUAUGUAAUGUCAAAAU